rnacentral:sRNA from 1 species
CUGGUAGCACCAGAGUUUGAAAUCCUUCAUGGAGCCACAAGAGAGAUGCAGGAGGGAGCAGAGUAAGGUUCCCCCAUUCCGCCCUGCCAAGGUGCUUCAAGUCUGUCUUGGAGGAACCACCUCUGGGUGGAGAGGAGAGUUCAGGUUCCAUGAUGAGACAGUUCUUGCCCUCU